CAAUGGAGGAACUCUGAUGCAGCGAUGCCGCGUGAGUGAAGAAGGCCUUUGGGUUGUAAAGCUCUUUCGUCGGGGAAGAAAAUGACGGUACCCGAAUAAGAAGGUCCGGCUAACUUCGUGCCAGCAGCCGCGGUAAUACGAAGGGACCUAGCGUAGUUCGGAAUUACUGGGCUUAAAGAGUUCGUAGGUGGUUAAAAAAGUUGGUUGUGAAAUCCCGAAGCUUAACUUCGGAACUGCAAUCAAAACUUUUUAGCUAGAGUAUGAUAGAGGAAAGCAGAAUUUCUAGUGUAGAGGUGAAAUUCGUAGAUAUUAGAAAGAAUACCAAUUGCGAAGGCAGCUUUCUGGAUCAUUACUGACGCUGAGGAACGAAAGCAUGGGUAGCGAAGAGGAUUAGAUACCCUCGUAGUCCAUGCCGUAAACGAUGUGUGUUAGACGUUGGAAAUUUAUUUUCAGUGUCGCAGCGAAAGCAGUAAACACACCGCCUGGGGAGUACGACCGCAAGGUUAAAACUCAAAUGAAUUGACGGGGACCCGCACAAGUAGUGGAGCAUGUGGUUUAAUUCGAAGAUACGCGCAGAACCUUACCAACACUUGACAUGUUCGUCGCGGCUCUAAGAGAUUAGAGCUUUCGGUUCGGCCGGACGAAACACAGGUGCUGCAUGGCUGUCGUCAGCUCGUGUCGUGAGAUGUUGGGUUAAGUCCCGCAACGAGCGCAACCCUCACUUUUAGUUGCCAUCAUUUAGUUGGGCACUCUGAAAGAACUGCCAGUGAUAAGCUGGAGGAAGGUGGGGAUGACGUCAAGUCCUCAUGGCCCUUACGUGUUGGGCUACACACGUGCUACAAUGGCAUUUACAAUAGGAAGCAAGAUGGCGACGUCAAGCAAAUCCUAAAAAGAUGCCUCAGUUCGGAUUGUACUCUGCAACUCGAGUACAUGAAGCUGGAAUUACUAGUAAUCGCGGAUCAGCGCGCCGCGGUGAAUACGUUCCCGGGUCUUGUACACACCGCCCGUCACACCAUGGGAGUUGGUUCUACCUUAAGGCAAGGUUUAAAACCCUUGACCACGGUAUAGUCAGCGACUGGGGUGAAGUCGUAACAAGGUAGCCGUAGGGGAACCUGCGGCUG
rnacentral:rRNA from 1 species